GUCAGGAGGCUGCUGCAGUGAACCAGAGCAGUGGAUGGUGGCUUGGAUGGGGGUGAUGUAGAGAUUGCGAUGGAGAAUGGGCUUCUGGAUUUAUUUUGAAAGUAGAACCUGCAGAGUUCCUUGGACUCUGAUGUGAGGUACAUCUUCAUGGAUGCAGCAUGGUACCAGACAGAGAGUGCUGAACCAGGAAGACCACCUUCCAGUGACUCAGGAAAGCAAGCAUCACUCCUUGGUAAAGUCAUCUGGGUCUCAGUUUCCUGAUCUGCAGCGUAAGAUGAUGAUCUCCAAGGAUCCAGCUAUGAUAUGGCAUGAAUGGGCUUCCCUGGUGGUGCCGUGAUUGAGACUCCAUCUUGCAACACAGGGGGACACCGGUUCAAGUCCGUGGUCCAGGAGGACCUCACAUGCCUGGGGGCAGCUAAGCCCCCGCGCCACAGCUGCUGAGCCCGUGCUCCAGAGUCCCACGCUCCAUGAGAGAAGCCGUGGCGAUGGGAAGCCCACGCACCGCAACUGGAGGGCAGCCCCCACUGGCCGCAACUAGAGAAAGGCAACGCAUAGCAACGAAG